rnacentral:lncRNA from 1 species
UUUCAGAAGAAGAUAUCUAUAUUGCACCUGCAUUGACCAUUUCUGUGUAGAAGAACCCUCCAACAAGUGCGCAGAUAGACAAGAUAAAAACCAUUGGUUUUGAUGUAAUUAUUCCAGAAGAAGGAGAAGAAUCAGAUCUUGGUGAUGUUGGUGUUGCAGAACCUGAAGAUAUAUAUGAGAGAGUCAUAUCUACAAUCCAUGCUUUGAACUGAAGAACGAUCAAUUAAAGGAAAGGGCAGUUUUUUAAAUCAUUUAUUCUGAUCUAUUUUAUUGGUUUUGUAAUUACAUAUCUAUUACUCCUUCAAACAACUUCUCCCAGAAGUUGUCAUAAAACUCAUCUUCUCCUCCCACUACUUCUGCCGUGUUAUUUACACCUGAACCACUUCCGAUGGAGGAGCUCUGAUACCCGCUAUUCCAUUCCCAUAUUGGUGUUAUCUUUUGAUCCAUCAUUGAUAUAGAUAGUUGUGGUACAUCACUUACCUGUUUGUUUCCAUCAGAUUCAAGCCCAAACCACUGGAUGUUCGAGAUUAAGGUACGAGGUUGAGGUUUGAUGACCUCACCGGAGUAUGUUUCUGCGACUUUAGUAGUGAAAGGAACAUCAGUUUCUGUUUUCUUCUUCGUCGUUGUAUUCUAUUUGAUUGCCGGUUUCUUACUCAGAUGUACGUGCGUUCGUUCCGGUGGUUUUUAAUGUCAUUAGCCCUCCUUCCCGGUAUUCUCCCGGCGAUCAGUGACCACUGACCACCUAUAUAUAUAUAUAUAUAUAUAUAUAUAUGAUGCAUGGAUUAUAUAUAUGGGUUAAGUGUUAACUACUUAACAACAUACGUGUGUGGUGAUUAUUAGAUACUUGUUUCCUAGCAAAUUAUGAAGUCUGAUAAUCAUAUCUACUUCGUCGGCGGAGAAAUGGCCACGUUUAAUGUUGGGUUGGAGAUAAUUCAACCAUCUGAGACGACAACUCUUCCGACAUCUCCUCAAACCUGCACGAGCUGGAACAUGACUCCAAUUCCCUUCACCAUGCUUUUCAAUAUAUCUUGUCAACAGAACGUCUUCUUCACAACUCCUUGCACCCUUCCGAACGGAGAUAUCUUCGAUCUGUGACAUCGAUCUCUUGCGAUUCAGGAUUCUAUAGAUUCUUUUUGUUCUAGAUAAUGUAUGUAAUUAAUAACUGUCCACAUCAACGGUAUGCAACUAUGCAUGCCCCUCCACGGCAGGCGCAGAUGUGUACGUACGUGUAUGUUGGUAGUCAGAAAAGUGUAUAUUCCCAAGGGUUUUUUUGAGUUAAAAUUGUCAAUUGGGGGUAACUUCUUCGUUUCCAAGUCAAUUGGAAACGAAGAAGUUACUUGGAAAUAUACACUUUUCUGACUACCAACAUACACGUACGUACACAUCUGCGCCGGCCGCCGAGUGGAGGAGCAUGCAUAGUUGCACACCGUUGAUGUGGACAGUUAUUAAUUACAUACAUUUAUCUAGAACAAGAAGAAUCUAUAGAAUCCUGAAUCGCAAGAGAUCGAUGUCACAGAUCGAAGAUAUCUCCGUUCGGAAGGGUGCAUGGAGUUGUGAAGAAGACGUUCUGUUGACAAGAUAUAUUGAAAAGCAUGGUGAAGGGAAUUGGAGUCAUGUUCCAGCUCGUGCAGGUUUGAGGAGAUGUAGGAAGAGUUGUCGUCUCAGAUGGCUGAAUUAUCUCCGACCCAACAUUAAACGUGGCCAUUUCUCCGCCGACGAAGUAGAUAUGAUUAUCAGGCUUCAUAAUCUGUUAGGAAACAAGUAUGUAAUAAUCACCUCACACGCAUGUUCUUAAGUAGUUAGUUAACACUUAACCCACAUAUAUAAUCCAUGCAUCAUAUAUAUAUAUAUAUUUAUAAGCGGUCACUGAUCGCCGGGAGAAUACCGGGAAGGAGGGCUAAUGACAUUAAAAACCACUGGAACGAACGCACAUCUGAGUAAGAAACCGGCAAUCAAAUGGAAUACAACGACGACGAAGAAGAAAACUCAAAAAGAAGAAGGAGAAGAAGAGUGAAGCGAUCUGAAUGCCAUCAUCGAAAAUAGAGGCAGCAUUCCUAAAGGAAGCCGCGAGGAGAAGAACUGGAGAAGAAGAGAACGACGCUGAAGUCGCGGAGGAGGUGAACAUUGUCGACACGCCACGGGCGAAGGACUUAGAGAAGCAAUCGCUUCAGGGCAACGCCUACAAUUUAACUGCUUUAAAAGAAAAAAGAAAAAUAAUAAUAAUAAGGCAAUCGGGCGACCCGGCUGCUACCCGAGAUCCGGAUUAUAUCUAUUACUAAGGUAGGGAUUUAAGUGGGUAUUUUACGGUUUAGACCUUUAAGUUUUGAAUCGAUUUUGAGUUUAGAAUUUUAUAGUUUAAGGUUAUAAAUUUAAUAUUUUAUAGUUGGUUGUAUUAUUAUUUAAAGGCCGGUGAUGUAGCUAUGUAUUAUUAUUAUUUUAUAGUUGGUUUUGGGAUAUGAAAUAAAAAAAUUAAAUCGUUCCUUCUUGAGAACCAGGGCAGCACAGGCGAAUCAACUCCGAUCUAAACUCGCCAUCUAUCGAUCUAUCCACCUCGAUCCUUCGUACAUCUAUUAUCUCCGUUCAUACCGUCCUAACUGCUCUCCACGCUCAGCUACGUUGCAGGCCUCUUCCGGCCAACCUUUCACUUUGUCCAACAUCGCGUCCGGCGACCAGCCGUCUCCGAUCAUCGUCGCUUUCGGUGAACGAGCAGCCUCUUCGAUACUCCGUCCCAGGAACAGUUGAUCUGUACCAAAGAGAACUGCAUUUGUUGUUCCUUUUGCUGCUGUUACUAAAGUGGCAGAAACAUGCUCGGAUGAAGUCAUCAAACCGCAACCUCGGACCUUAAUCUCAAACAUCCAGAGGUUUGGACCUGAAUCGGUUGAUGGAAACCUGUCGAUAGGUAAUCAUGAUCUACCACCACCACCACCCAUAUUGACGAUGGAUCAACAGAUAAUACCAUUAUGUAUUUAUGUGAAUGGGAUGGUGGGUCAGCCGGAAGUAGGUCAGGUGUAAAUAGCAAAGCAGAAGUACUAGAAGGAGAAGAUGAGUGUAAUCGAUCGAAUUUUGUUCUAGAGUUAGUUACGACUCGACUUAAGGAGAAACUGAAAUUGGAAGCAAACUACUAAAAGAUUAUGUUUAUUAUUGAUUAGUUAGUAGUUAUCAAGGUUAAUUAGUAGUUACAUUGUAAUUCCACUUGUCAAACUAGCAAUGACUAAUGAUUCUUUAAAUAUCCAAGAGUAUGAAUAACAAAUUAUUAAAGUAAACAAUCAAUUCUAGUUUCUCCCAACGCCUUUAGAGAGAUUCUUUUCCAACCUCUGACUCCAUCAAUGAGAUUUAUGUCCGUUCCGCUCUUCGUUUUUAGUUCUCAUCGUGACAGUCUGUUACCAUGAGUUUUUUGACAACUUCUGGGAAAAGUUGUUUGAACUUUGAAAAGGUAAUUAAGAAUGAUACAUAAUGAUUUAUAAUAUAAUAGUCUAAUAGAGUAAUAGAUACUUAUAUAUUUGAUAUAUAUAAUAAACUAACUUCUCGUGCUACUAAGAAUGUUUCAAUGUAUUACAAGAAGAACUGUUAAAACAUAUUCUAUGAUAAAAGUAUAAGAGACUAAUCUCUUAAACCAACGUAUCUAGUUACUGUAUAACUUAAAACUAUCUUAUAAUAUAAAUAUUUUUUAUAUUCCAAAGUUAUCUUGGAUCGAUUUUAUCAGUACAUGUAAACGGGUUUGCGAAUACUGAAUAGUUAAUGGGUCCAGGAAACGGGUGACGGGUUAAUACUUUUAAUAUUCAAUUGUUAAAACUACAAGGUCCAUAGCACAAAUUUCUAUGAAAGUAAUAUAAUUAAUGAGCAUUCAGCAAAAAAAAUAGGAGGAAUCAUCAGAAGUCAGAACUCCUCACUGUUACUGGUCACUACUUUGGCUGUUGACUCUUUUGCUCCGGAACUGAUCAUUCAGAUCUGCUUCUAAAUCUGGUAUGGAAAUUUUUCGAUCGAUCUUCUUUUCAUUUUCGAUAUCUUAUUAAUCCAUCCAUAGAAAUAAUUAGAUAAUUGGAUUAAUUGUCUUCGAUUCGAUGUUUGCAAUUUUUCUGUGUGCGAUUUUUCUUCGAUUCUGGAUCUAAAUUCGUUUCUUCAACUCCAAAUUUGAUAGAAUCGAAUUUAAUCCGUGCAUGCUUCGUCAUCUUCUCUGUGUGGUUUUGAUUUCGAGGACGCAGAAUUGUCUUUUUCUGCAGUUUAAUCUGUUAAAAUCUUCAAUCCAGUGGCAGUAAGUAUUUUAAGAAUAUAUGAUAUGAAUCGACUGGUGUAUUUUGAAAAGCAUGAAAAGGUGAAGAAGAAAACAACAAAAACAAGGCAAAAACUAGACAUACAUGGUAAUUGAUACAACAUCUUAUCACCGGAGUGCCAAACAUAGAAAGGGGGGAAAUCUUAGGGAUUUUUGAACUAACUACCUAACUAAAACAGUUGUUACUGUUGAAGAGUAAUUAGAAAGUAAUCUCAAUGAAUUGCAUUAAAAUUAAUUAAAUUAGUUACGAAUAGGGGAAUAGACUAUAGAGUUUAUUAAAUAGAACUUCUUAUUAAAUAAUACAAUUUGUAACUACUAAGUAGUAACUAGCAAGUACUAACACUAAGAUUAACUAACUAAAAUAUUGCGCUAUUGGACUGUAUAUUUAUUUAAAGCCCAAUAGCUUUUAUUAAAUCUCGAUUGUUGGAUUUUUUUUAAAUUGGCCCAAAUCUAUUAAUUGUUUUAUUUAAACUUUUGUGUUUGUGUUUUUGAGAUAAUUCCUCGUAAGGUUAUUAUUUGAACCUUAUUAGAAAUUACAACUAAGUUCUAAAAAUGAGUAUUACAGUCAAUCUGUAGUUAGAUAAUUGGAAAUUUAGAAUUGAGUUAAUUAUUCCUUUACAUCUAUCUGUCUUAAAGAAAACACAGAUAAUGAGAUUAAAUCAAUAAAUAUGGAUGAGAUCAAGAAAUUAACUAGAGCAACAUUCAUUCAGAAUUUUAACUUUUAAUCGAAAGUUAUUAUGAAAAGAAGAUUUUUUUUAAGUACUAAAUACUGUAAUUAGAUUCAAUACUCUUCAAAGUUUAACCAUCUUUUUCCAGGAAUAUGCAACUAAAUACUAUAAUUAGAAUUCAGAAGUGCCUGUAUAUUUAUUUAUAGAAAUAUAUUGAUGUAUUUUUGAAAAUAUUCAGUGCCAAUAAAUUCAAAAAUAAUCAGGUCGUAAGAUUUUGGGCACUGGCACUCUGGCAGUGUAUAUUGUCUUUUCUUCUUCGUUUGUUUGACUUUUGGGAUUCUCACCUGAAAAUCUUUCCUUCUUCUCUUGAUUGUUGGAACUUGGAAUUCAUCUCUUCCAAUCUUUCCAAUGACUAGCAGAAGUGGAAGUGACAGGAAUAGAGAGGUAUGUAUCAAUGACUCAAUGUACGUGCUUUAAUUCUCAAUUUCUUUCUUUCGGAUUUUUUUUUUUAAUUACAAAAAGCGAAAUGCUUUAUUAUUACUUUUUUGGGAUUUUAAUUUGAAAACCAGUCCUGUUGAUUCCUGUUCUUACCAUUUUUGGUUCGUAUGUUCUUCAUCUUUUUUCCGUCUUAAUCUUGACUUGUUUCGGGGCAUUUAAAUAUCCCCAAUCGAAUCACAUUUAAAUUGACGAAAUAAUAUACCGUCAUUUUCUUCAUUAUUUUGCAAAGAGAGGAAAGGAAACCCUCAUAAAAUGGUGAAACCUCCGUGAGUCAUUUAAAAUAUAUCAUCAUUUAAUUUGAAUUAUCUUUUCUGAGUGUAUCUGCUAGCUAUAUGUAAUAUUAACUUCCUUCAGUCAAACUAAUUUACAAUUUUAAUUACAUUUUUUAUGUUAUUGAUCACUGAUCAGGUUACAAAAUACCGCAUAAUAAUAGCUGCUAGUGGAUUGGUUGAGGAUUUUAGCUUUGGGAGACUUUACUAUUGGUUUACUGAAAAUUUUGCUUCUGAAGUUGUGGUGGUGAUCCCUGAUGAAUGUGCUGAAUUAAUAAUAAAAUGUCUUCCAUCAAAUGUUAAUCUGUUUGUCCACAGCCAAGAUUGGUCUUCUUGGAGAAAGAUUGGUGAUGAUGUUCUUCACAUAAGGCUUGUUAAAUGGGCACAUUUCAUGAUUGUUGCCCCUCUUACAGCUGAUACUCUUGCCAAGGUAAUGAAUGGUGAUUUUUAAAGGUUAGUAGAAUUAUACAACGUUUUGUACAAAUGGAAAGUCUAUUAUAGAGGUCAUUUUAGGAUACUAAUUCACAGAAUUAUAGAGGUCAUUUUAGGAUACUAAUUCACAGAAUUAUAGAGGUCAAUCAAAUCGCGAAACAUAAAUAAAAUGGAUAGAUCAAGACAUAAACGGAUGAACUUGUUAUAUAUAUCUUAAUAUAUCUCAUAUAUAAUUAUUAUCUUAUAUGAAUCAGAUUAUCCCAAAUUAUUAUUUUACAAAAUCACAAACUAUAUAGUUAGUAGUAGGCUGGUAUAAAUUUUAAUUAAAUACACACAAUCUAUUCAAUAUUUCAAAUCUCAGGUGUCAAGCAUGUCACUGUUUAAUAUGUCAUCAGGGAAUACUGUUCACAAAUUGCCAUAUUAGAUAAUAGAUAUUCUUCAUAUAUUCAAAAUCUUUGAUUGUGAUGCAUGACAUGUUAAGAAUUUUGGAUAAAUUUGAAUAUUGAAAUUUAUGUAUCUGGCAUUCUGACUUGUGUUUUUGUGUUUUUGUGUUAAAAGAUCGGGAAUGGAUUGUGUGACAAUCUACUGACAUGUAUUGUUAGAGCAUGGGACUUUCAGAAGAAGAUCUAUAUUGCACCUGCAUUGACCAUUCCUAUGUGGAAGAACCCUACAACAAGUGCGCAGAUAGACAAGAUAAAAACCAUUGGUUUUGAUGUAAUUAUUCCAGAAGAAGGAGAAGAAUCAGAUCUUGGUGAUGUUGGUGUUGCAGAACCUGAAGAUAUAUAUGAGAGAGUCAUAUCUACAAUCCAUGCUUUGAACUGAAGAACGAUCAAUUAAAGGAAAGGGCAGUUUUUUAAAUCAUUUAUUCUGAUCUAUUUUAUUGGUUUUGUAAUUACAUAUCUAUUACUCCUUCAAACAACUUCUCCCAGAAGUUGUCAUAAAACUCAACUUCUCCUCCCACUACUUCUGCUGUGUUAUUUACACCUGAACCACUUCCGGUGGAG